rnacentral:rRNA from 1 species
ACGAACGCUGGCGGCGUGCUUCACACAUGCAAGUCGAACGGAAAGGCCCUGCUUUUGUGGGGUGCUCGAGUGGCGAACGGGUGAGUAACACGUGAGUAACCUGCCCUUGACUUUGGGAUAACUUCAGGGAACUGGGGCUAAUACCGGAUAGGAGCUCCUGCUGCAUGGUGGGGGUUGGAAAGUUUCGGCGGUUGGGGAUGGACUCGCGGCUUAUCAGCUUGUUGGUGGGGUAGUGGCUUACCAAGGCUUUGACGGGUAGCCGGCCUGAGAGGGUGACCGGCCACAUUGGGACUGAGAUACGGCCCAGACUCCUACGGGAGGCAGCAGUGGGGAAUAUUGCACAAUGGGCGGAAGCCUGAUGCAGCAACGCCGCGUGCGGGAUGACGGCCUUCGGGUUGUAAACCGCUUUCGCCUGUGACGAAGCGUGAGUGACGGUAAUGGGUAAAGAAGCACCGGCUAACUACGUG